rnacentral:rRNA from 1 species
GAUCAGGCUCAGGAUGAACGCUAGCUACAGGCUUAACACAUGCAAGUCGAGGGGCAUCAGUUUGGUUUGCUUGCAAACCAAAGCUGGCGACCGGCGCACGGGUGAGUAACACGUAUCCAACCUGCCUCAUACUCGGGGAUAGCCUUUCGAAAGAAAGAUUAAUAUCCGAUAGCAUAUAUUUCCCGCAUGGGUUUUAUAUUAAAGAAAUUCGGUAUGAGAUGGGGAUGCGUUCCAUUAGUUUGUUGGGGGGGGG